UAGCCUAAUUCAUCGCAGAGAAUGAUGACAAUAGCAUUUUCAGGUUCAGAACCUUCCAAGGAUUCCUUUAUAUGGACGACUUUAUUGUCAUUGGAUGUUCAGAGCAACACAUGACCAAAAACCUAAACAAUGUCUUCGAACUGUGUAGGAAAAAUAAUCUGAGCUUAACUUUUAUUCCAGUAACGUUUUCAAAAAAUAAUAUUAUUUUCCCGAUGUUCUUAUACUAAAGUUUGUUGUACAGAAUAUCGCCUUUCUCAACCAAUUUUAUAAGAAGUCUCUUUCUCAGGUUCCAAUGCGGAUGUAUUUUCGCUUUACCAAAACUUUCAUAGCCAUAAUCCUAUUGAUAGUCUUUCCAGUCUAUAUUCGGCUAGUAUUAAAUUAAAUAGGAGUAGGUUAUAUAGGUUACUUAUAUGGUCUUGCCAAAUAAAGCUGGAAAACCAUCGAUGGCACUAUCGAUACUAUCGAUGGUUUUAAGUUUUUUCAAACCAUCGAUGCUUUUCGAAAACAAUCGAACAAUCCGCACUGGAUUCAUUAACACUUUGAUACAGCGAGAGAGAUAUAUUAUAGAAAAGAAAUAACUAUUUGAGAAGAUUGGUGGUGUUGGAAGAGGUUGGAGAUGGAUAAAUUCUU